AGCGAACGCUGGCGGCAGGCUUAACACAUGCAAGUCGAGCGGGCAUCCUUGUGGUGUCAGCGGCAGACGGGUGAGUAACGCGUGGGAACGUGCCCUUCGGUUCGGAAUAACUCAGGGAAACUUGAGCUAAUACCGGAUACGUGCGAGAGCAGAAAGGUUUAUCUUCCGAAGGAUCGGCCCGCGUCUGAUUAGCUAGUUGGUGAGGUUACGGCUCACCAAGGCGACGAUCAGUAGCUGGUCUGAGAGGAUGAUCAGCCACACUGGGACUGAGACACGGCCCAGACUCCUACGGGAGGCAGCAGUGGGGAAUAUUGGACAAUGGGGGCAACCCUGAUCCAGCCAUGCCGCGUGAGUGAUGACGGCCUUAGGGUUGUAAAGCUCUUUUCUCCGGGACGAUAAUGACGGUACCGGAGGAAUAAGCCCCGGCUAACUUCGUG
rnacentral:rRNA from 1 species